UACGGAGGGUGCGAGCGUUGUCCGGAAUCAUUGGGCGUAAAGGGCGCGUAGGUGGCCCGGUCAGUUCGUGGUGAAAGCGCGGGGCUCAACCCUGCGUCGGCCAUGAAUACUGCCGCGGCUGGAGCACUGUAGAGGCAGGCGGAAUUCCGGGUGUAGCGGUGGAAUGCGUAGAGAUCCGGAAGAACACCGGUGGCGAAGGCGGCCUGCUGGGCAGUUGCUGGACACUGAGGCGCGACAGCGUGGGGAGCAAACAG
rnacentral:rRNA from 1 species